CCGAUAGCAGCUGGUUUGAGCUCUGGAUCGGGGGAUGCGACGGCUCAGAGGAAGAAUAAGAGGCCAAAGUAUUCGAAGUUUACUCAACAGGAGCUUCCAGCUUGCAAGCCUAUUCUCACUCCCCAAUGGGUGAUUUCAAUGUUUGCAAUAAUUGGCACUAUUUUCAUCCCCAUUGGCAUCGCCUCACUGUUCGCUUCUCACAAUGU